rnacentral:rRNA from 1 species
CCUACGGGUGGCAGCAGUGAGGAAUAUUGGUCAAUGGACGAGAGUCUGAACCCGCCAAGUAGCGUGAAGGAUGACUGCCCUAUGGGUUGUAAACUUCUUUUAUAUGGGAAUAAAAUGUUCCACGUGUGGGAUUUUGUAUGUACCAUAUGAAUAAGGAUCGGCUAACUCCGUGCCAGCAGCCGCGGUAAUAAGGAGGAUCCGAGCGUUAUCCGGAUUUAUUGGGUUUAAAGGGAGCGUAGGUGGAUGGUUAAGUCAGUUGUGAAAGUUUGCGGCUCAACCGUAAAAUUGCAGUUGAAACUGGCAGUCUUGAGUACAGUAGAGGUGUGCGGAAUUCGUGGUGUAGCGGUGAAAUGCUUAGAUAUCACGAAGAACUCCGAUUGCGAAGGCAGUUCACUGGACUUCAACUGACACUGAGGCUCGAAAGUGUGGGUAUCAAACAGGAUUAGAUACCCGGGUAGUC